UACGAAGGGGGCUAGCGUUGUUCGGAAUUACUGGGCGUAAAGAGCUCGUAGGCGGUUUGGUAAGUCGGGUGUGAAAACCCCAGGCUCAACCUGGGGACGCCACCUGAUACUGCUAUGACUUGAGUCUGGUAGGGGAUCACGGAAUUCCUGGCGUAGCGGUGAAAUGCGCAGAUAUCAGGAGGAACACCGGUGGCGAAGGCGGUGAUCUGGGCCAGUACUGACGCUGAGGAGCGAAAGCGUGGGUAGCAAACAGG
rnacentral:rRNA from 1 species